GGGUGAGUAACACGUGGGCAAUCUGCCCUUCACUCUGGGACAAGCCCUGGAAACGGGGUCUAAUACCGGAUAACACUGCGGAUCGCAUGGUCUGCGGUUGAAAGCUCCGGCGGUGAAGGAUGAGCCCGCGGCCUAUCAGCUUGUUGGUGGGGUGAUGGCCUACCAAGGCGACGACGGGUAGCCGGCCUGAGAGGGCGACCGGCCACACUGGGACUGAGACACGGCCCAGACUCCUACGGGAGGCAGCAGUGGGGAAUAUUGCACAAUGGGCGAAAGCCUGAUGCAGCGACGCCGCGUGAGGGAUGACGGCCUUCGGGUUGUAAACCUCUUUCAGCAGGGAAGAAGCGAAAGUGACGGUACCUGCAGAAGAAGCGCCGGCUAACUACGUGCCAGCAGCCGCGGUAAUACGUAGGGCGCAAGCGUUGUCCGGAAUUAUUGGGCGUAAAGAGCUCGUAGGCGGCUUGUCACGUCGGAUGUGAAAGCCCGGGGCUUAACCCCGGGUCUGCAUUCGAUACGGGCAGGCUAGAGUGUGGUAGGGGAGAUCGGAAUUCCUGGUGUAGCGGUGAAAUGCGCAGAUAUCAGGAGGAACACCGGUGGCGAAGGCGGAUCUCUGGGCCAUUACUGACGCUGAGGAGCGAAAGCGUGGGGAGCGAACAGGAUUAGAUACCCUGGUAGUCCACGCCGUA
rnacentral:rRNA from 1 species